UACAGAGGGUGCGAGCGUUGUCCGGAAUUACUGGGCGUAAAGGGCGCGUAGGCGGCCCGGUGCGCGUGCCGUGAAAGCCCGGGGCUCAACCCCGGGUCGGCGGUGCGAACGGCCGGGCUGGAGCGCGCCAGAGGCAGGCGGAAUUCCGGGUGUAGCGGUGGAAUGCGUAGAGAUCCGGAAGAACACCGGUGGCGAAGGCGGCCUGCUGGGGUGUGGCUGACGCUGAGGCGCGAAAGCGUGGGGAGCAAACAGG
rnacentral:rRNA from 1 species